rnacentral:sRNA from 1 species
UAGUAAACAAAUGUUACUCUCUGAUAUUAAUCUUACUAUAUUUAUUUCCUAUCUCUUUUGUAGUAGUCCAAAAUGUGUCUUUCGAGGGAGCCAGUCCAAGCGCGUCUGCCAGAUGAGAAGUAACUCCUAUUUUCCACUGGUCUUCACUCAGGUGAUAAUCAUUGGAGACUCGGAUCUAGGACAAAAGACCCACUCUCAACAUCAUCAAUAUAUAAAGUCUAAUAUUUAUUAUAGCAGGUUAACUGAUGUAUAUAAGGCUUAGUGUGAUGUACUGAAGCAGGGCAAGUGUGACGUAUUGAGCAGGUGGAGUGUGAUGUAUUCAAGCAGGGGAAGUGUGAUGUAUUUAGCUGGUGGAGUGUGAUGUAUUGAAGCAGGGGAAGUGUGAUGUAUUGAGCAGGUGAAAUGUGAUGUAUUGAGCAGGUGGAGUGUGAUGUAUUGAGCAGGUGGAUUGUGAUGUACUGAAGCAGGGGGAGUGUGAUGUAUUGAAGCAGGUGGAUUGUGAUGUAUUGAAGCAGGGGAAGUGAGAUGUAUUGAGCAGGGUGAGUGUCAUGUAUUGAAGCAGGUG